AAAAAAAAAUCUGGAUGGUCACUAGGACUACUAAUACAUCAACAGAGGGAUUCCUGCAUUCCUUUCCCAAUAUUGCCUCCCUGAUGGACACAUUGGAUGGACACAUUGAGUAGGGAGAUAGAAACCUACCGUUGUGUCCUAGACUUGACAAAUACAUUCUUCGGUAUUCCCAUUCCUGAAGAAUCACAGGACCUGUUUGCAUUCAUGUGAGGAGGCAGGCAGUGGACCUCUCAGGUCCUACGUUGUCAUAACUUAGUGGUACGUGACCUAGCAGAUUGGUACGGUUUAAUGUUACUAGGAUUAUUCCACUACAUUGAUGAUCUCGUGUUGAUGUCAGACUCACUGGAGGAAUUAGGAAAGGCAGUAGAUUCAUUAACUACUCAGUUACAAAAGGAAGAGUGGGCUAUAAACCCUCAAAAGGUGCAAGGACCAGGCUUGUCAGUGAAAUUUCUGGUUGUAGUUUGGUCAGGAAAGACCAAAGUACUACCCAUUGCAAUAAUAAGUAAGGUUCAGGUGUUCCCAGUCCUUACUGCACCAAGGCAGCUGCAAGAAUUCUUGGGUAUAUUGGGAUACUGGUGUUCCUUUAUAGCCCCACUUAGUGCAGCUGCUGAGGCCUUUGUAUCGACUCACAAAGAAAGGCCAAAAAUGGGACUUGGGGAGAAUGGAUCAAGAGGCCUUCCAGCAAGCAAAACUAGCUGUUAAACAGGCCUAGGCACUGGGUAUAUUUGAUCCUUCCCUUCCAGCCGAACUGGAUGUCCAUGUAACUCAGAAUGGGUUUUGCUGGGGCCUAUGGCAGCACCAAAACUGUUUUGAAAUUUAGUUGGGUUCUGGUUUCAGGUUUGGCAUGGAGCAGAAGAGAGGUGCAGGAUGACUGAGAAUCAGUUACUGGCUGCCUACUCUGCAUUACAGCUGGUAAUAUAGAGAGCCUAUAACUCAAACAUCUGAAGUCAUAGUUAAGAUGACCUUGCCAGUUCAGAGGUGGGUGAAAGAUCUGACCCACCCUCCUAAGACAGGAGUGGCCCAAGCACAGAUAGGCAACCCAUCGUGCCACUAUCUCAGCCAGAGGAGUAAUCAGUCUUCAUCACCAUUGAAGGAAGAACUCCAGAAGAUCCUAGGCCUGGUGACAUAUCACAGUGAUGCGCCAGAAAAACCAAUGGUUGCUCCACUGGAGAAGAGACUCAUUCAGGAAGGGAAAUACCCCAUUCCUGAAGAUCCCUGGUAUAUGGAUGGGUCUAGCAAGGGUAACCCAAGCAAGUGGAGAGCAGUGGUAUACCAUCCCUCCACUGAAACAAUCUGGUUUGAAGAGGGGGAUGGUCAGAGUAGCCAAUGGGCAGAACUGUGAGCCAUGUGGAUGGUUAUCACCAAGGAACCCAGUGACAGUAUACUGAAUAUCUGCACAGAUAGCUGGACUGUGUACCGGGGGCUCACUCAUUGGAGUGCACAGUGAGCCACCCAGGAAUGGACUAUUCAUGCCUGACCAACCUGGGGUAAAGAUAUGUGGUUAGACAUAUGGAAUGUGGUUAAACAUAUGGUAGACAUGUAUAGUCCUGUUUCUGGUCACCAGGAAAAGAUGAAGCUGAUGCCCUGGCUUGAGUUCAAUGGAUUGAGGAUUCACCAUUUGAGAACAUCACUUGCUGGUUAUAUCAGAAGCUGCAGCAUACUGGGUAAGAGACAAUGUGGGCAGCUGCUAAAGCAUGGGUGCUGCCCAUACAACUGCCUGAUAUCAUCUAGGCAUGCUGAGACUGCAGUGCUUGCUCCAAGAUGAGACCAAGACCGUUGCCUGAAGCAACAGCCCAUCUUGCUAGAGGAUGCAAUCCAGGUUGAUUACAUUGAGCCCCUCCCUCAGUCAGAGGGUGCAAGGUAUGUCCUGACCUGCGUUGGCACAGCAAGUGGGCUAAGGCAGGCCUAUCCAGCACCAAGAAAGAACCAGGCAUAUACCAUCAAGACACUCACCAGGUUGGUGGCUGCCUACAGGAUGCCUCAACUCAAUGAGAGUGACCAAGGGACUCAUUUCACUGGUGCAAUGGUACAACUCUGGGCAGAAGAAAACAACAUUAAGUAGCAAUUCCACCUGCCAUGUAAUCUGAUGGGGGUAGGCCUUAUUGAACGCUAUAACAAUAUUCUUAAGGCUGCAAUGAAGACAGACUCUCAGUUCCUGCAGGAGUGGACAAAGACACUCUACAAACCCUGUGGGACCUGAAUGAAAGGGCCUAGAGAUGGCAGACCCAGUGCAUUGAAGAUGCUACAGACAACAGGGGACUCCCUGCUUAGGAUCCACAUUACAGGCACCGGUAAUUGGGUAAGACCCCCAAAUUGGCAAUGAAAACAACUUUCUGCGCCCUGCCUCUGAAAACCUAGAACCCAGUACCCAUGAAAUAGAAUGGCCUUGGAAGGUGCAAGUAGGACCAAAGUGGUGUGGCCUACUUGCAACUUGAGGGAGGUUAUUGGAGGCUGGGGGAUCAGUAGUCCCCCCGGUAAUAGGUACAUGGCCUGCAGACAUUGUGGUCAAUGCUCUGGUUUUCAUCACUAAGGAGACCUUAAUCAUGUCCCUGUGGCAAAUCAGGCCCCUCCCUGCCCCCCUUUGGUAACCAAUAUAGUUAUUCAGCCUCAGAUAUCAGGCUGAAGGGUAUGGUAUGGACAGCCAGGACAUGCCCCAGUGCAAGCUGAAUUGUUGACCCAGGACAGGAACAUAGCCUGUAUCUUGCUGUGGAGGGCGGACCUACCCCUUCUGGUACCUAUGAAACAUCUGUGCUACUCUUUUUGAGUCCACAGGAUCACUGGGAAGAUCAAUGUGACUUAAGGAUGCUCCAGCAUUGCUAUAAGAUCAGCAUGACACCUGGUGAUGGACUAUAUGGGACUGAUGGAAUGCAAGCUGAAACCUCCCUGGUUCAAGCAACUAUGUGCCUCCAGAAGAACCAUCGAGUACUAGCUCACAAAUGAACAAGAACCAAUCAUCAAUUGUCUUAUAUUUUGUCAAUAUACACUGUGACGGGCAAAUUGUACAAAGUGUUGCGUUAUACUGGAUCACUAUAAUGGAAAGGGCUUAUCUUCAAACUGCUCAAUCAUUGGUUCAUGCUAUGAAAGGGUGGAGUGUAGUGGAAAUGCAAGUCACAGCCUGAACCAUUGACUGAGCACCUGGUGGGAAGGCAGGAACAACCCAGGGGAGCUCAGGUGCAUGCAAUGCACCUCAGUGACAGGAAAGGGUGGAGCCAGAAUCCACUCCUUCCCAGACCUCAUUUAAGGGCUGGCAGUGGGGGUGAGGGUAUCUUGCUGGAGAUGUGUGCCUUCCUGAGGUCUUCCAAAGGUAAGCAGCCUCUUUCCUUUUGUUUCUGUGUCCAUGGCUGUUGCAUUUGGGCUAGUCCUCGUUUGCUGCAGCCAAAGACUUUGCCACCCUGCUAUGCUCGCUGUAUUUUCCAUUUACUUUCCAUCACAUUAUAGUGUUACAAAUACAGUCAUGCACUGGAUAGGCUACCACUUGCCAAACUAGCCAGCUCCUUUAGAAGCAGUGCCCAAAACCAGGCAGGACCUCACUAGCACCUAAUUGCUUCUGGAAAAUAAACAUUUUACCUCAUAUUUUCUAUGCUUUGCCUAACAACAGGGUAAGUUCUGCUUCUCAUGCAUGAGGGGAUAUUAACAAGUGUUGUAGUCCCCACCCUGUCUUCAGACCUCCCUCUACAAAUAGGUGGGAGGAAUUGCCACCUGGUGUCUCUUUGCCUAGGAUAGGCAGUUCAUCUGGAAUAGAUUCCUAACUUUUAAAUAGUUAAUGGUUGGUGAUGUAAGUUCCAUCUCUACUGAGUAAUGUUAAAGGUUUUCUGUUUGAACAGCCCAGAGAAAAGAGCACUGGUAACCGCAGACAUCUACCAGCAUGCUCCUGACCUGGAAGAACAGUUCUCCAAAAUUUCCCUAGGACAGUAAUCUAAAGGCUUUUUUUCCUUAUUAUGGACUGAGAUAGGAAUUUUAUUUAUGAUACAAUGGAUUCCUUGAAGUGUACAGCUCUGCGGAGUACAUGCUUGCUCUUCUGCACAGAAAUGGUAUUUAAUUCAUUUCCAGGUCUGUAAAUUCCAAGCAGCUGCUAGAACCAAGAAUGUACUGGAACGUUACACAUAAGACUCCUAAAUUCUCAAACUCUUUCAAAAUUUUCAGUACUGUUGUGCAAAUAAUAGAAGUUUAACAAGAAUUCCAUGGCAAGUUAAGAUGUGCAGGCAACUACCAGACUGUCGGUCCUUAUAACCUCUGUGUCCAUAUUCAUUAAACUAGGCUACUAACUAGAUGCAUAAAUUGCACUAUGUGCCAGAAAGACAAACUUUGGUAUUUUGAAUAUCCUUAGGUACUAUUUCUGACUGAAGACCAAAAUAAUUGGAAUAGAUGUAUUGUGAUAGAUUAAUGAAUAGCACCCUAGAGCCUGUCUCAUUAAUCUAUUCCUCAUGGCUACAUUGGUCUUCACAAAACAUCUUUUGAAGAAGAUUUCAUCUUUUCCUGUUUUUUUUUUUUAAUAUCUCAGGCCUAAGUAUUCGAAGGAUGAGAGCCAGCUGUACUUAAGAAGCAUUUAGUAGCUUUUUUUUUUUUAAAUGUAAUUUUACUCACGAAGUACAGGUCAACUGCAUUUAAAUAACUGCUAGAUAACCUGCCCACAAUUGGAAGUGAAUGCUGGAUGAAUAAACACAGCAUAUUCUCCUUCCUUAACAAAGUUGUUCUGUAUCAUUUUUAACCAAGUUUUGGAUGGAAGAAGUGCACUGCAAAAAACUUUGGGCUGCACACUCAAUGGAGCCACUCAUAAACACCUUACCUGAUAUUGAAAGGCAGGUGACACAAGGCUGUAACCAGCAUCAUUUUUCACUCAGAGGGUGGUGAUGUGCUGGAACAGGUUGCCCAAGGAAGUUGUGGGUGCCCUGUCCCUGGAGGCAUUCAAGGCCAGGCUGGACGUGGCUCUGGGCAGCCUGGUCUGGUGGUUGGUGACACUGCACUCAGCAGGGGGGUUGAAACUUGAUGAUCUUUGAAGUCUCUUUCAACCCAGGCCAUUCUAUGAUCAUGCAGGCCUGUGUGAUGACUGAUUCCAGGGAAUGAAAGGUAAUGUUCAUAUGCACAGGCUCUUGACCUGGUGGUGACCCACUCACUCUCCUUUUAAGAGGCUUCCAUGAGGAAAAAACCCACACUAGAGAGCUUGUUUGGGUAUUUUUGUGAGAGGCAGAGGGAACCUCAUUAGCCUUGAAAGAGAUUUUCCUGAAUCUAGGUAAGGUUCCUACAUUUUUUUGGAUUCAUUAUACCUUUGUAGUUAAAUUAACCAGAAUAGCUUUCAGAUGCCUGUGCACUCAUUUAGGAACAAUAGUGGCCAUUCUGUCCUGAGAUGCACUAAACAUGUGGAACAGCUCUUUGUAUAGUAUGAAAGCAAAUGUAGUGCUCGAGUGGUCUGGAUGAACAGAGGAACACUUGGAACAAUAUAACCUAGGGGUUACCUCAGUCAUCUUAAGCACCACAAAAUCUCUCCUGGAUGACUGUAAUUGGAAAAACAGUGCAAGACAAAGGAACUAAAGAACUGUCAGUGGGAAAGUUAACUCAGGUAAAAAAUACAUCUAAUAAGAGAUUAUGGAACUGAAUUGACUGUAAAGCCAGAAGGUUUAAACUUCACUGAUCUCACCAGUGGAACAACAAAUAGAAGACAAGGAAAAAUAGCAUGGAAAAUAUACAAGUUAACGCUGUUUGAAUAUGAAGUGAAAGCAGGUAUCCAAAGGUGGCAGAGUCACUGAAAGGGCAUUUUUACACACAUCCCCUCAGAGGAAAUCCUAUUGUUAUUUCUGAGUGAGUCAGCCAGGGCUUAUUCCGAAGAAUGAGCACCUAUCUUGCAGAAAGCCUUCCCAGUGAAAUGCAAUGAAAGUGGAGCAACUGGGGUGAUGGGCAGCACCUGGGGUCUGGGCAGUGCCUGGGUUCUGCCACCCAGCAGCCACAGGGGCGAGGGGUUUCACUCUGGGAUUUACACUUUGAUCGAUGCGUGCUAAGAACAGAAGGGCUGUAUUUAGGAGAGUGGGAGACAGAAGAGGAAUUAAGCAAAAAUGUAAGGAUUUGGGGGCUUAUUAUACAGGUUUAGAGACAAGAGAAAAGAAAACACAGAAAGACAAGAAAAUUCCUCGACAUGUUGAAACAUAUCAAAAGAUCUAUAUGAAAAGGCUACACAGCCACUGCAUGAUUCAAGUCAGCCAAUUUGUUCAGACAUUGAUAAGAACUCUGCUGCUUUGGUAAUACGAAAAGCAAAAAGCAUAUUGUGUACUGCUGUUGAGAUUGGUCCGCCUGAAAGUUCAUGCUCAGGUCUGAGAAACUGGCUACGUUUUUUUGGCAAGCUGUGUACAGGGGACAGUGAAUGUAAGGAUGGCAGCCACCUAGUAUUUUCUCUUCCAGGGAGGAGAUGGCAAGGAUGCUGAAGGAACAUGCCAGUUGUCUGCAGCUCAGGAUGCAGUAACUGAUCUCCUGGUGGUCCACGCCUUGAUCCUGAAAGGAGUAGGUUCACAGAGCACUCAGAGUGUCACCAAACGAAGGAGGGACUGCCUGCAGAAAAGGAGGCUGGACAGAAGAGAAAGGGAGAGUAGAAAAUGGGUCCAUUUCAUCAGACUGGAUGUGUUCAAAGGUGAUAACAAAGGUUGGAUGAACUUGGCUGCUGUUGUCCCACCUACAGCUAAAGGCUGAAUUUGGCGAUGACUUUCCUCAAACAGAGCCAAGUGGUGCUCCAUAGCCAAGACUGCCAGCCCAGAAGAAAUGCUAAUCAGCCUGAUCUCAUGUUCCAAGAAUGAAACCCUGGCAUGGAAGUGGCAUAUCUGCUAGUUAAUGUCAACAGUUGAUGUGCAGUCAGAGAGCAAACAGGAUUUCAUAUUGUGUUCCAACUGAAAGUGCCUAUAACAACAAUCCUCAAGAGGAGUCAACACUGGGUCUUUCAACUGACUGUCAGCACAUCCUGUUCUUCCUCAUUUGCAAUAUUCAUCCCUAAAAACAAACCAGCCGCAUAAGGAAUUACCCAAACCAUCCAUAAAUGGAAGAAGAAGGGUUUAUCUACAACUUCUGGAGUAGUUAGAAGGAAGGUAAGCAAAAUUCUUAGUUCUCCAAGAAGUAGAAAUUAAGAGCAAAAAGAGUAUUACUCUAUGGAAACCAACGCACACACGAGGCCCAGUGUUCCCUCCUGCAUUUAAAUACAUAUAGCACUUGCAAGUAUGAUAGAUACGCACUUUUUUGAACUGUAUUACAUCCUAUUUUACACCAACUGCCUGUGUUUUUGGUAUCCCUUUAGUACCACAAGCUCCUUAGCAGUACCUCAGUGCUGUUUUUUUCUGCCACAAACCAAUUAAGUACUGAGAAGUUAAUCAUUAGCUGGCUGGUUGUGCAUUAAGACAGACUCCCUUCUUUGUCUUACGGUGUUAUUAAAUGCCUCCUUCUUUGAAAUGCCGCAUGAAAGUGAUAGAUGCCCUUUCUUUACAAGUCGGCCAUCCAGGCAAGCGAUGUUUUAUAUAAGUUCAGCCAACAGGAGCCCUCCUUGUUUAAAUAUAGAAGCAUAGGGCAGAUAAGGCUGAGCAAGCCGAUGCUGCAAGCCUGGGCUGCAGGUAGGGGCUGGGGGCUGGAGGGCACUGCUGAACCAGAUCUCACCCAAGAAUUGUGGGGUGGGGGACAGGAUAUGAUGCAAAAAAAACAAAUUAGGACGAGGCCAAAUGGUCAGAUAUACUUGCAGUAUCGUGAUGGAAUGCUGUCGGCAUUUCCUAAGGACGUUUCGUGGUUUUGAAGGGUAGCUUGGCAUGGGUACUGCCAUGAAAACACACAGUCCUGCACAGCAGACCAAUGAACAGGGAGAUGGAAAAGCAGGACUGAGCAAGACAGCAGAAAGUUUCCCCUUCUCAAAUCAUUGACCACAUUCUCCCAGCAGCAGUGUUUCCCUACGUUUUUGCUAACUGGCUUUUAUGAGGUAAAACUGGUGCUCAGGAGAAUAAUGCUCACUUUGUUUGCCCCUGGUGGAAACACAAGGCUGUCAAGGCAGGGCUCAGCUGAUGUAUAAUCUAUAUUUACAUGUCAAAAAAACCACCCUUAUUUAGGCUCUUGAUUUAUAAUCCCUAGUUUUCAUAAAAGUCACUCAUUCCCAGUGAAAGAAUGCGGAGUAGAUUUAUAGGAUCUACAUUAUGCCUUAAAUCUUAAUAGCAUUUUUAAAGCACUUCUAUGAGUCAUCCUAAGAAAUGCUUUCCCUCUAUUUUUAAGACAUAAUUGUGUAAAAACAGAUCCAAAUCUUUACCUUAAAAACAAGAUUAUUUUAGCCAACCGUGCUGGCAUCAACUCUGCUGCAAUGCUAAACAUUCUGUCAGCAAUGUCCUUAUAAGCCUCUGUUUCCAAGGGUUCACAGCUUGAAUGGAAAAUGCACUUUGUACUAAAGCUUGUCUGGUAAGAUCUCAACCUACAUGAGCGGUGAAUUUGUUUGCACCAUUAUAGCCAAAAUAAAAUAAAUCUUUGGAGGUAUCUGUAGGAAAGAGGAAAGGGCCUGAUGCUGUGCCCUCCCCCUGUCCUUCACAUCAAGCUCCUCGUUGCUUUGAGAAUUCUGCUGAAAUACACAAAGCUCAGGUUCAAUCUAAAGCAGCACCAUCUGAUCCCAAGUACAUCCAUCAUAUGCACACAUACAGAAGUGCUGGCUGGGCAUAACAGUGCAACACCAACCCUAAGGCAGCUCUCUGUAGAGCCAGUCUGCUUUAGAUGGAAAUUUAAAUAUGUUUUGAAGAAGUGUUGAGUAUCAUAACAUGGAUCGGUAGAGAAGCAAUUUCUUAAACAUUUUUUUGGGAAGCCAAGCAGCAACUAGUUCAUGCAAAUAUGCUAUUGUAAACUAUAAAUAUGUAUGCUCACUGAUGAGAUGUUUCAGCAGGACUAUUCCUGAUGCCAAGUGCACCAUUUAGGAGACGUAUCUGCACAAAUGAGGUCCUUAGUGAAUGACGAAUUGCGUAGCGCAGAGAUCUUUGUAAAGCAUCUAUCCCCUUGUUAACAAACAUGCUGCAUCUUUUGGAAGAGUCUAAGAGAGAUGACCAACUGACAGAAACAAAAGUGAUGGGGUCCAAAGCAGUACCACCAAAGUCUUACGAGCACAUGCCUGGCUGACCCCCGUUGGCUUCUAGCUCCAUAGUCGUGGCUGCAUAACUCAUCACCCAUCUCUGCUGUUGAAGCUACCUCUGCACAGAAAAGUCAAGGGCCUGGAUUGAGCAGCACAGUCCUGGGAGAGGUGGGAGUUAAGGAGGCAAGGAAGAGCUGGUCACCCACCU